AUAAUGCCAGUAGGCAUUCCCCGCUGUUCGUCUCCCUCCACGCUAUGGGGGAAGAGUCUCACUUUCUUCUUUGUUUCAUUAGUGACCAAAUUUGGGCAAAAUCCUAUUUUUACUUUUAUUUAUUUAUUUUUAGGUUUGGUGGUCCUAUCCUUUUUGAAGUUUGCCCCUGUCCCCUCGGAAAAAUGAAAAAUCAACAUCCCUGCAAUGGUGACACUGUCCCAACAUAAGGAAUCGAACAAAAGGGACAACAUGGAGAUUACAUUAUAUUUGAUGAUAUGCAAUGACGGCAAUGAUGAUGAUGGCAACAAUAACAUUGACGAUAGAAGUGGCAGCAUCCACAGUGGCUAGGAGAGAUGGGGCACCUGUUCUGCUGCAGGAAGUCACUGUGACAGUGCAAACAUAUGUCCCACUGAGCAUCACUGACAACAAACAUUAUGCCCAGCUUCUGCUUAUCUUCAGAGUUUAUUACUGUCUCCACUUGGAAACUGAAAUAUGAUUAGAUGUUGCUUUGGCUGACCAAAGCCAAAGCUUUGGUUAUUUAAGCAAACAGUCACAUUUUCUAUAUUAAUAUGUAUAUUUCCAAUUGUGAAUUCACAGAUUUCACAUUGUACAUUAGCCCAAAGUGGCAUUACUGAGAGUUUGUUGUUAGCAAUGGCAAUUCCAUAAAUGUUAAAAAUUGUCUGACUGCAAUCCCAGUCAUUGGUAGUUUGCUUUGUUUUGUGAUUGGCCACCAGGAGGUGAACACCAACUUAGUUUACAUUGCAGAGACAGAAUAAUCAAUGGUCAGAGGGGGGAUUGUAUAGCUAAAGUGGCAAUGUGUAUUCUUCUUCUAAUGGCAUGCUAACUAUAGAGUUGGAUUUAACUCUAUGUGUUUAGUUACAUUUUAAAAGGUGUUACAUAACAGUGGGGAAUAUUUGUUUUGUUUACUUAUUUUAAACUUGAUAUCUUACUUGCAAAUAACUUCUCUUUAUCUUUCAAAGCCUGCAACCAAUGUUUCUCCUUCAAGAGUAUGUCUGCAUAGCCUUGCUGUACUGUCAUUAAUGUGCUGAAGUUGGUAGCUGCAAAAAGAAAGAAUGGAGGGAGAGAAGGUCAACACGCACUAGAGUGAUAGCAGGGGUGAUGCUACAGGUGGCCUUCUAUUUUCACCCUAACUAUCCCCCACCCAUUCAUACUCUCAGAAGAUUCUCUUUUUUUUACUAUAUUUGAAAUGCUUAUGCCUAUUAUAUAAAUAAAUGAAUUGAAUAAUAAGGUCCCUGUGAUUAA
rnacentral:lncRNA from 1 species